rnacentral:misc_RNA from 1 species
UAUUAACAAGAAAAGCAAAAAGUGAAAGCAAAUAACAAAUGCAAAAUAAAAGUUGUGCUUCUUCAAAGCAUAUGCUUAGAAGAUCCUCUCCUCGACAUCAUUAUUCCUCCUCCGAAAAACCCACAUAAAACGCCAUGUUUUCACCCUUCAAGCCCUUGGAGGGAUAUGGGGUUGGAAUAUAUAUAUAUAGGUAUAUCCUCUCUGUAACAUAGUUUUCUAUCCCCCCCCAUUUGGUCUGAUCGGUCCGACGUUGUUCCCCGGCCACCGGCGAAGGCGGGGAGGAUGAGGAAAAUGAAGAGAAGGGUUAGUUGUAUGUGGAAGUAAGGUCAUGAUGGUUUUAAAACCAUUAGGGCAACUAUGAUCCUUUGGCAGUGUAUCAGUAUGAAUUAUAUUGCUUUACACAGUUCAUGUUACCAUGAUAAUGGGGAAUAUAUGUUUUAUAUGUGAUCUUUAAAUUUGACUUUGUUAUGCUACUGGUAUUAGCUCUUUUCUUGUUUGUUUGUUGAUGAAGAACACGACAGAUGAUUUUCUUGGCUUCAUUAUCAUGGAUCUUGAUUUUGUUUCUUAUUCAAUGUCUUUUGCUUAACUAUGUUAUGAAUGUGAAUCUCCUAUCAUUUCUUGAGAGUAUUUUCUUGUAUUUCUUGGGAAUUACCAUAAGAUUAGGGGAUCUAGCCAGUGAAAUCUCAGCUCGUGUUCAAUAGGUAUAUUUCUUUUUUUAUUCUUCGCUUAAACUAAUAAGAUAAAAUAAUAGAGAAUGUUUUCUAUCUCUUAUAGUUUUCUAUCCCU